GGAGUCUCGGAGCCGGGUGUUGGUUCCGGUAGUGAUCGAGGGAAGUUAGUACCGAAGUCCGGGAUGGAAGAUGGCGAGAAAAGCUGUGUGUAUUUCGCGGUGCCCGUACCGCAAACCGACACAGGUAGGUAGGAAGAAGAUUCUAAGGCCAACGGGAGAAGGGUUGUUAAGGAACUCGGCAAAUUGACCCCGUAACUUCGGGAGAAGGGGUGCUCCAGAGAUGGAGCCGCAGAGAAUCGGCCCAAGCAACUGUUUACCAAAAACACAGGUUUGUGCUAAAUCGAAAGAUGACGUAUACGAGCUGACGCCUGCCCGGUGCUGGAAGGUUAAGAGGAGAUGUGCAAGCAUUGAAUCGAAGCCCCAGUGAACGGCGGCCGUAACGAUAACGGUCCUAAGGUAGCGAAAUUCCUUGUCAGGUAAGUUCUGACCCGCAUGAAAGGCGUAAUGAUUUGGGCACUGUCUCGACAGCCCGCCCGGCGGAAUUGUAGUACCGGUGAAGAUGCCGGUUACCCGCGACAAGACGGAAAGACCCCAUGGAGCUUUACUGUAGCCUAAUAUUGGGUUUCGAUGUUGCAUGCACAGGAUAGAUGGGACACUGGGAAGCAAGUGCUUUGGCAUUUGUGGAGUGGCCGUUGGGAUACCAUCCUUGCGAUAUUGGAAUUCUAACCUGCGCCUUUGAAUCAAGGCGGGGGACAUUGUUAGGUGGGCAGUUUGACUGGGGCGGUCGCCUCCUAAAGAGUAACGGAGGCGUUCAAAGGUUCGCUCAGCUUGAACGGAAAUCAAGCAAAAGAGUGCAAACGCAGAAGCGAGCCUAACUGCGAGACUGACGGGUCGAGCAGUAACGAAAGUUGGAGUUAGUGAUCCGGUGGUAUGUGAGUGGAAAUGCCAUCGCUCAACGGAUAAAGGUUACCCUGGGGAUAACAGGCUGAUCUCCCCCAAGAGUCCACAUCGACGGGGAGGUUUGGCACCUCGAUGUCGGCUCAUCGCAUCCUGGGGCUGUAUUCGGUCCCAAGGGUUUGGCUGUUCGCCAAUUAAAGCGGUACGCGAGCUGGGUUCAGAACGUCGUGAGACAGUUCGGUCCCUAUCUGUCGUGGGCGCAGGAUAUUUGAUGGGAGCUGUUCCUAGUACGAGAGGACCGGAGCGGACGUACCUCUGGCGCACCAGUUGUUCUGCCAAGGGCAUAGCUGGGCAACUAUGUACGGAUCGGAUAAACGCUGAAAGCAUCUAAGCGUGAAGCCGACCCAAAGAUAAGAUAUCCCAUUGUUUCAAACAAGUAAGACCCCUUGAAGACUACAAGGUUGAUAGGCAUGAUGUGUAAGUGGAGUGAUCCAUUCAGCAAGCAUGUACUAAUAGGUCGAGGGCUUGAUC
rnacentral:rRNA from 1 species